rnacentral:rRNA from 1 species
CGCCGACAAUACACGGGGCUAAGCGCGGAGCCGAAGCGGCGGGGCCGCGCCUUUUUCGGGCGCGGCCGGUAGGGGAGCGUUCCGCGCAGGGGCGAAGCCGCCGGGGCGACCGGCGGUGGACCGCGCGGAAGCGAGAAUGCAGGCAUGAGUAACGAGAGAGGGGCGGGAAACCCCUCCGCCGUAAGCGCGAGGUUUCCUGGGCGAGGCUAAUCCCCCCAGGGUCAGUCGGGCGCUAAGGCGAGGCCGCGAGGCGUAGCCGAUGCCCAGCAGGCGGACAUUCCUGCACCGCCGCCGGACCGCUAGGACCGACGGGGCGACGAAGGAGGAUAGGCGGGCGGGGUUCUGGACGUCCCCGUGAAAGCGCGUAGGGCGGGCCGCAGGCAAAUCCGCGGCCCACGGAGCCUGAGACGCGAGACGAAGCCCUCGAGGCGAAGCCGCUCAUUCCAUGCUUCCGAGAAAAACCCCUAGGCAGGGCCGGCGGCGCCCGUACCUAAACCGACACAGGUGCGCGGGUAGAGCAUACCGAGGCGUUCGGGAGAACCAUGGCCAAGGAACUCGGCAAAACCGCCCCGUAACUUCGGGAGAAGGGGCGCCGCCGGGGGUGGAGGGGCGAGCCCCCCGAGCCCGCGGCGGCCGCAGCGAAUAGGCCCAGGCGACUGUUUACCAAAAACACAGGACUCUGCCAAGCCGCAAGGCGACGUAUAGGGUCUGACGCCUGCCCGGUGCCGGAAGGUCACGCGGAAGGGUCAGCGCAAGCGAAGCCCCGAAGCCAAGCCCCGGUAAACGGCGGCCGUAACUAUAACGGUCCUAAGGUAGCGAAAUUCCUUGUCGGGUAAGUUCCGACCUGCACGAAAGGCGUAACGACCUGGGCGCUGUCUCGGCCAUGGACCCGGUGAAAUUGCAUUAUUCGUGAAGAUGCGAAUUACCCGCGGAAGGACGGAAAGACCCCGUGAACCUUCACUGCAGCUUGGCAUUGGCCGACGGUUCGGUGCGUAGAGGAUAGGCAGGAGCCCGCGAAGCGGGGGCGCAAGCCCCCGCGGAGGCGCCCUUGGAAUACUGCCCCCAUCGCUCCGGCGGCCUAACGCGCGGCCGCCAUCCGGCGCGCGGACCGUGCCAGGCGGGCAGUUUGACUGGGGCGGUCGCCUCCCAAAAGGUAACGGAGGCGCGCGCAAGGUCCGCUCGGGACGGUCGGCAACCGUCCUGUGAGCGCAAGAGCACAAGCGGGCCUGACUGCGAGACCCACGAGUCGAGCAGGGACGAAAGUCGGCUCUAGUGAUCCGGCGGCCCCACGUGGGAGGGCCGUCGCUCAACGGAUAAAAGGUACUCCGGGGAUAACAGGCUGAUCUUGCCCAAGAGUCCACAUCGACGGCAAGGUUUGGCACCUCGAUGUCGGCUCAUCGCAUCCUGGGGCUGUAGUCGGUCCCAAGGGUUGGGCUGUUCGCCCAUUAAAGC